rnacentral:rRNA from 1 species
CUACGGGGCGCUCCAGUAGGGAAUAUUGCGCAAUGGGGGAAACCCUGACGCAGCAACGCCGCGUGAGUGAUGAAGGCUCUAGGGUCGUAAAGCUCUGUCGUACGGGAAGAUUAUGACGGUACCGUACAAGAAAGCACCGGCUAACUUCGUGCCAGCAGCCGCGGUAAGACGAGGGGUGCUAGCGUUGUUCGGAAUUACUGGGCGUAAAGCGCAUGUAGGCGGUCUAGCAAGUCAGAUGUGAAAGCCCUGGGCUUAACCCAGGAAGUGCAUUUGAAACUGCUAGACUUGAGUAUCAGAGAGGGCAGUGGAAUUCCUGGUGGAGUGGUGAAAUACGUAGAUAUCAGGAGGAACAUCGGAGGCGAAGGCGGCUGCCUGGCUGAAUACUGACGCUGAGAUGCGAAAGCGUGGGGAGCAAACAGGAUUAGAUACCCGGGUAGUC